GCUUGCUUUGGCAGUGCAUAUGCUAAAACUGGAACGAUAAAGAUAAUAUUAGAAUGACCCCUGCACAAGAAUGACGUGCAAAAUCGUGAAGUGUUCCAUAUUUUU
ensembl:snRNA U6 U6 spliceosomal RNA